GAUGUGUCCUGUUUGACAGAGCUUUGGUCCAGUGAGCAUCAUCAUGAACAUCAUCGAAUCUUCAAGGGGUCAAGAAUAUAACCACAAUUGGCUCAUGUGAGUGACAAGUCACACUAAUUGCAAGGGCUUCAUGCAUGGCUGGAUCCAGGAGCUCCAACUAUAUACUUAACACAGGCUCCAGGUGCAUGGGCUUCAGUCGUUGGCAGGAUUCUCAGCCAUU